UGCACCACCUAGGACAAGAAAGCAAUUUGAUAGAGACAGGCCAAAAGGUGGAUUUGAGGCUUCCCUGCAAAAAAGUAGCCAUGUGGCUUCAUAGUCCAGCCCUGGAGCCAAGAGACUGAAGCAGCCCAGGCUAGCCUCAACCCUGGUGAUUAGACCCUUGAGGUUUACUGAUGAUCAGCUGCUGCCUGCCUGUGCCCUUCAAGAGCUGCAAGUUCCUGAUGAGUCCCUGGAUUUUUCCAGUUGAACUUGUCUUUCUUUUCAAUUGUUUGAAAACUGAGCAAGAGCAUCCCCACCAGCACAACACCAGUGACGACCAAGGCCAGCUGGCUUCCAAAGAUGCUGCUGAAAUCUGGGG
rnacentral:lncRNA from 1 species